rnacentral:rRNA from 1 species
AUUGAACGCUGGCGGCAUGCUUUACACAUGCAAGUCGAACGAUGAAAUCCAGCUUGCUGGAUGGAUUAGUGGCGAACGGGUGAGUAAUACAUCGGAACGUACCCUGUAGUGGGGGAUAACUACUCGAAAGAGUGGCUAAUACCGCAUACGACCUGAGGGUGAAAGUGGGGGACCGCAAGGCCUCACGCUAUAGGAGCGGCCGAUGGAAGAUUAGCUAGUUGGUGGGGUAAAGGCUCACCAAGGCGACGAUCUUUAGCGGGUCUGAGAGGACGAUCCGCCACACUGGGACUGAGACACGGCCCAGACUCCUACGGGAGGCAGCAGUGGGGAAUUUUGGACAAUGGGCGAAAGCCUGAUCCAGCAAUGCCGCGUGAGUGAAGAAGGCCUUCGGGUUGUAAAGCUCUUUUGUUUGGGAAGAAAUCUUAAAGGCUAAUACCCUUUGGGGAUGACGGUACCAAAAGAAUAAGCACCGGCUAACUACGUGCCAGCAGCCGCGGUAAAAC